rnacentral:rRNA from 1 species
AUGUGUGGUGCGCGUCAUGAAAUCAAAAAUCUCAACAUGUCAAAGAAGAAGAAAACGGCAGCACCAACAAGUGGGCCCUCUGGUGGUUCUGCGCCACCAUCAGCUGGUGGUUCUGCGCCACAACCGAGUAACUCUCAGGCAACUGGUGGCCCUGCGGUGCGUCCUGAAGGGCCUGCGGUGCGUCCUGGAUCUAGACAACAGCAACCUACUUCUGCGCCACCACCGAGUAACACUCAAGCAACUAGUGACCCGGCGGUGCGUCCUGACGAACUUGCACAAACCUCUUCUGGACCUAGGCAGCAGCGAUCUAGUUCUGCACCGCGGAGAAAAAAGGCACCAAAACUAGCUGGCAACUCUAUGAGUGAGGAUGGACACCAACAAACAGCGUUCAGGGCUGCAGUGAUGCACAGUGGGGCUGUACCACUACCCAGGAGCCCUCCCGCACAAAGUUGCUGGCCUGUACAACAACUGUCGGGAUAUGUGCCACUAAACAGUGGAGCAGCACCGCACCUUUCAAGGGGCUCAACAAUGACAAGGCUUGUGCAAGCGCUAAGAGGAGUUGCGCCACAACUUUUGAUGCAUACGGCACUAGCAAGAGGUCCUGCGCGACCUCCUAUGGGUCCUAGACCAGCAAUUUGGCCUGCACCACAAACUAUGGGGGCUAUACAACCACCGCGGGGGCUUGCCGCGGCAAACACAACCUAUGUGGCUAUUCCUGGACUGGCACCAUCGCCUGCAUCAUCAGCAACAGUGGAUGGCAGGUAUGGACAGCACCCAGGUUCUUCAACUACACAAGAAGAAAAUGCCAAUGCAAUUCCAUCUUCUAUUGUGCAAGCUCAUGGUGGACAUGCGCACCAGCCGCUCAGUAUGGCAUCUCUACAUGCAGCUGUUGCGGCCGCACAAGGUACUACGAUGGUUGAACCAUAG